rnacentral:sRNA from 1 species
UUUGCGCUAGGGAUUGAAGUGGCAUCCUUUUAUGAAGAAUGAAUAAAAGAUAUAACGAAAAGCCCGCUCGAGC